rnacentral:rRNA from 1 species
UCAGGUUCGGAUCGAAGUCUGCAACCCGACUUCGUGAAGCUGGAUUCGCUAGUAAUCGCGCAUCAGCCAUGGCGCGGUGAAUACGUUCCCGGGCCUUGUACACACCGCCCGUCAAGCCAUGAAAGCCGGGGGUACCUGAAGUACGUAACCGCAAGGAUCGUCCUAGGGUAAAACUGGUAAUUGGGGCUAAGUCGUAACAAGGUAAC